rnacentral:rRNA from 1 species
UACAGAGGUCUCAAGCGUUGUUCGGAUUCAUUGGGCGUAAAGGGUGCGUAGGUGGCGCUGUAAGUCGGGUGUGAAAUUUCGGAGCUUAACUCCGAAACUGCAUUCGAUACUGCGGUGCUUGAGGACUGGAGAGGAGACUGGAAUUCAUGGUGUAGCAGUGAAAUGCGUAGAUAUCGUAAGGAAGACCAGUGGCGAAGGCGAGUCUCUGGACAGUUACUGACGACUGAGGCACGAAGGCCAGGGGAGCAAACGGG